UACGAAGGGGGCUAGCGUUGCUCGGAAUCACUGGGCGUAAAGCGCACGUAGGCGGAUUGCUAAGUCAGGGGUGAAAUCCUGGAGCUCAACUCCAGAACUGCCUUUGAUACUGGCGAUCUCGAGUCCGGGAGAGGUGAGUGGAACUGCGAGUGUAGAGGUGAAAUUCGUAGAUAUUCGCAAGAACACCCGUGGCGAAAGCGGCUCUCUGGAACGGUACUGACGCUGAGACGCGAAAGCGUGGGGAGCGAACAGG
rnacentral:rRNA from 1 species